CUGCAGAAAAACAUCAAGAGGACUACAAAACAGUCUCAGGAAGUGAUCAAAAAUCCAACACUUCAAAGGAAGGAAGUGAUAAAAAAUCCAACAUUUCAAACGAAGGUAAGUUAAAACUUGUG